rnacentral:lncRNA from 1 species
GUGUCAUUUGGUCUCUCGUAGAGAUUUGUUUUAUUGGCAAUCAUACCACAUCUUCUUAUUAUUUGUUAUAACGACACGAUCAAAUACAAACAAUAAGUAGACAACAUGUGAAUGACAGCGGCUCAUAAAUGAGAAUUAGAAAUAAUGAUAAUGAUAAAUGACUAUUAACAUUAGUUUAUUCAAAAAAACAUUAAAAGGCAAUGUACAAAAGUGUAAAAUUUGUUUGAAUUGUUUUACAUUGUAUUAUCGGUACCUUUUAUAGCUGACUAUGCGGUAUGGGCUUUGCUCAUUGUUGAAGGCCGUACCAUGACCUAUAGUUGUUAAUGUCUGUGUCAUUUUGGUCUUUUGUGAAUAGUUGUCUCAUUGGCAAUCAUACCACAUCUUCUUUUUUAUAUAGUCAUGUUUUCUUAAUGAGACACAAUCAUUAUUGUUCAGUGAUUUGCAUAAUGACAAUCGAACUAAUAAUAUGCACAUAUGCUGUGAGCAGUGAUAUUAGUAAUUGUAAAUAAAUAUAAUAAGAACAUGUGUUUGUUUCUUUUUUUAAAUGCAUAUCUCUCAAUACGGCAUGAAACGAACAGACUGAAAAGGAAUAGAAUGUUUCUUCAAUUUCUUCCCUGUUGUCAGCACUUCAUGCUAAAUUAUCUUUUCAUAAAUAUUUAUUUUAUAACAUCAUAUAGUGACAAAUAAAAUGUUUUAUAUCUACUAGAACAGUUUUUGUAUUAAUGAGGGUGUGGAAGGGGUCUCUUUCAUUGACGCAUUCUUUAUAUUUUUAGUAUAAAAAUGAGAAUGGAAAUUGGAAAUGUUUUUGAGGCAAUAACCGAAACAAAGAGUGAAGAAAUGAAGCCCACCAAUUGGUCUUAAACACAGUCAGAAAAUACCAUAUCCGCAGGCGAACUUCAGCUGGUCCCUAAACAAAAAUGGGUACUAGUUCAUAAGUGAAAAUGGAUGUCAUAUUAGAUCUAAGACAUGUAAAUGAACUAAAUUUUAAAAACAAGCAUACAAGACUUAGAAAAGACAGAGGUUCCUGACUUGGGACAGGCGCAAAUAUGCAGCAGGGUUGAGCCUGUUUAAUAAGAUCUCAACCCACUCCCUAUACCUCUAGCCAAAUGUAGAAAAAACAGCAAUACGCACAGUGAAGCUCAGUUGAAGAGAAGUCCAUGUCUGAUGUCAGAAUAUGUAAGGGAGUUACCGUUUGGUUUUAUGGGGGGAAACGGGGGGCUACGAUUAAAUUUGAAAAAAAGCAGGACAGGAGUUUUGAGUAAAACAAAGGCAGAAUGAGAUACUUUGCAAAAAAGGCAGAAUAACAAUCCAUAUAAAAAAAGUCAGGAUAAACUUGUCAAAAAGGCUGGACCGAAAAGAGUGAGAGAAAAAAACAGGACAGAGAUACAUAAAAAGCAAUAUGUGAACAUAUUUAAAAAGAAGUAAAAUUACGAGUCAUGCAGUUCUAAGCAUUAUACACUAUAGCUAUAGUAAACCUAUAUUUCCGUCCGUUGUUAUCCUGGCUUUGCAAGUUUUAUGGUACACCUGAACUAUUUUUAAUAUGAUGCAUAUAUACAUGAUUAGCUUUUAAACGUAUGGGUGAUCAUAAAAAUACAGACUUUUGAUUGUCUCUGACAUGACAAUGUCCAUAAUUUUUAUAAUUUUAUAAUUCUAAAUCUCAGUUUUGUGUUAGAAAUGAGUUUGCAUAAUAGUCCAGGAGAAAUACUGUAGAAACAAAUCCUAUUCACAGCAAUAAGUAUUUAACUUUCCCGUUAUAUUUUAC